rnacentral:lncRNA from 1 species
CUGAAUUCUCUUAAAAUGUGCUCAGUGAUGUUCUGUAAAUCACGCAGAGGAUUCUACGGGCAGAAAAGUGCGACUUCCUGCGACGGCACGUACACAGCCAAACAAGUCCCAGCUACCUACCGUGUGGGAGGAGAGAAUCUAAAAUGUAAACAGGUUAAUGCUACACCAUGACAUCUGGCAGUGAUGAAGCAGAAAGAAAGAUGGUUGGAACGAUGCUGAUGAAAUGUUGCUUCAAAUCAGAGGAGAAAAAGUUGUUCAACUUGAUCCCUAGACUUCUGAAGUCUGUGAGAGUCUUGCUUUGGCAUCAGAAAACUUUAGACCAGUUGUGCCAGUUCAUCAAGAGAAGGACCCUAUCCUUUGAAUUUAUCAGUGCCCAGUGAACAAGGUGCUGUGUUGAAAGAGAAGUAGGAAGAACGCCUGAAUGGGAUCAACCACUGCUUUUGUGAACAAAUACCAGCAAUUAAGCUAGACGUUAUUGCAUGGAGAGGGAAUAAAACUUGCAAAUUGUCGUACUUCUGCUUCA